AACAAGGUUCUUCUCUCAUCUCAAGGACUUCAGUCUGGUUGAUCCGUCUGGGGGUGGGACAGGCGUGUCAACCAAAUUACGCUGCAAUGUGAUAAAUGUUUCAACAGACGGGCAAACACCACAUGGUGCCGGUUGGCAGAUGGACUGCUCAGCCCUGAUGGCAAGAGGUGAUGUUUGGGAAGUUCUCAUGAGAAGAAUGCCUGAACAGGGUGUUCGAAGACAAAACAAAGUAUUCGUUACAGCAUCAGGAGAGCCCUCCUGUGGAUGACCUAACAACUGUAAUCUGCUCUUCUCAACCAGCAUUCCAGGAAGAACUUCUAGAGACCCCAAUUCACAAGAAGCUCAGAGUUCUCUCUCCAAAGACCCCAGCUGGAAGUUACCCAAAUGUCCAUCAAGUGAGUGGAUAAACAGAUGAUGGAUCUCCAUGCAGUGAAUCACUCCUCAGCCACAGAAUGGCAUGAACUGCUGGUGCAAUAACAUGGAUUCUUCUCAAAAUGUUUGGUUAGAGUGAGGAAAGCCCUCCCAAAGAACAGACCGUGCGACUCCACUUGGAUGAAGCUCUAGACAAUGCAAACUACUCCACAGUGUCAGAAAGCAGAUUGCUGGUGCCCAAGGGAGGGGUGAAGGAUGGGGUGGGGGCAGGGGGGAGAAAAGCCAAAGCAGCCCCUCCCUGCCAGGAUGGGCAUGUUCAGGUGGGUGUAGUGAUGCUUCCCCUAGUGCAUACACGUUAAAACUUACCAAACUUCACACUUCAAGACAUGCAGUUCAUGACAUGACAAUUAUACCUCAAUGCAUUGUUUAAAAAAGGAAAAGAAUGGAAGUAAUCUGAAAUCUAGGUAUAUAUUUAUAUCCACCUAGGUAUUUUUAAUAAUACAAACUGCCCUCAACAACUAGACGGUAAUAAUUGGGUGCCACAGGCCGAAUUGUGCCCCCUCAAAAUUUAUAUGUUGAAGACUUAAUCUCCAGUGUGAUGGUACUUGGAGGUGGGGCCUUUGGGAGGUAAUUAGGAUUAGAUUAGGUCAUGAGGGUGGGGCCCCCAGGGUAGGGUUAGUGUCUUUCUAAGAAGAGGAAGGGAAAGACCUCUUUCUCCCUGCACACAUACCAAGGAAGGACCGUGUGAGGACACAGAGAGAAGGCAGCCAUGCAAACCAGGAAGCGCGGCCUCCCCAGAGCCUGGUCAUGCUGGGACCCCGAGGUCGACUUUUCAGUCUCCGGAACUGAGAAAGAGAAGUUUUGUUGUAAACACCCAGUGUAUGGUAUUUGGUUAUGGUGGCUCAAGCUGAUUAAGGCAUAGGGAAAGGGAUACAUUGUGUGGUGCAAUAGUAUGCAGCCAUGCAAAAUGAUAUCCACUAGGAACUCCAUGGGUCAAGUUUACAAAUGAAUAACUUAGGAAUUAAGAACACAAACAUAUUAUAUAGAUAUAUGACAAAAUAGACCAAAAGAACCAGCAAAAGAGUUUAGUAUGGUUCUUGGGCCAGGGGCAUGGAAGGGGAAGGAAGAGGCCUGAUUUUGUUGAUGUUGUAGGCCCUUUAAACACUUUUUGAUUUUUUUAAAGAUCUGUACUUGUAACAUUUACUUUGAUAAAAU